GAUGAACGCUGGCGGCGUGCCUAAUACAUGCAAGUCGAGCGGACCAAAGAGAGCUUGCUCUCUGAGGUUAGCGGCGGACGGGUGAGUAACACGUGGGUAACCUGCCUGUAAGACGGGGAUAACUUCGGGAAACCGAAGCUAAUACCGGAUGAUAAAGAGAAACGCCUGUUUCUUUUUUGAAAGUCGGCCUUGUGCUGACGCUUACAGAUGGGCCCGCGGCGCAUUAGCUAGUUGGUGAGGUAACGGCUCACCAAGGCGACGAUGCGUAGCCGACCUGGGAGGGUGCUCGGCCACACUGGGACUGAGACACGGCCCAGACUCCUACGGGAGGCAGCAGUAGGGAAUCUUCGGCAAUGGACGAAAGUCUGACCGAGCAACGCCGCGUGAGCGAUGAAGGCCUUCGGGUCGUAAAGCUCUGUUGUCAGAGAAGAACAAGUACCGGAGUAACUGCCGGUACCUUGACGGUACCUGACCAGAAAGCCACGGCCAACUACGUGCCAGCAGCCGCAGUAAGAC
rnacentral:rRNA from 1 species